rnacentral:tRNA from 1 species
GCCUGGGUGGCUCAGUCGGUUGAGCAUCUGACUUCGGCUCAGGUCAUGAUCUCACAGUUUGUGAGUUUGAGCCCCACGUCAGGCU